GGAAGAAGAAGGGGGAGAGGGGUGGAGAUGGGGGGUGGGGUCGGGUGGCGAUGUUUCUAUUUUACUUUAUAUAUGUAGGGUUUGGUGUCAGCGCUGCUUGUGCAGGUUCUCUGCUGUUCACUUGUGCACCCACCCACCCCACUCACACAUGGAAACAAAGAUCACCACAGCCAAUCACAAACAACCACCCACACCCUAGGCCAAUUCCUCACCAGUUUUAACCAGUGUUAGAACUUUUGCCCUGAAGCAUCUUCCCAGCACCGGAAGGAAGUUCCACAGGGAAGCCUUUUACAGGACCAGCUGCUUUCCUGGUGAAAAGAAUAUUGUUCCCUGGUGAAAAGACCUGCAGUUUUGAUGUGUGUGUUUUUAGCAAGGAACUGUUCUUUCAAAACAAACACACCUUUUAACAAAAUAAAACAGCUGCUAGAUGGGUCCUGGGUGUUUUGUGCCUCCUUGAGGAACCAUUUCCUCUGCCCUGAGGAGAGAGAGAAUCAACAGAUGGAGAGAGCUUUGCCCAUUCUGUACUUAAAGCAACAUUCAGAAUUGGUUUAGAAAGAGCCUUGAAGCCGGGUGGGGUGAGGUGGGGGGUUGUUGGACUCUCACUCCCAUUAGCCCCAGUUAAGUCCUGGUUUCCUGACCUUGCUGGUAAACAGGGCAGAAGCUUCGCCCAGCUGUGUUGUAUGCUAGCUCCAACAGCUGACUUCAGGAAUGAAGAACACAAAGCCCAGAUCCAGUUCUGGUGCCCAGCCUAGCUCUGACAGGAGAUUUGGGAUGUUGUUGCAAAUGCCGGGCACCCAUUUGUCUGGAAUCACCUGAGAUCUCCCAAGGCCCACAGAACCCACUCCCUGGCAAUUUCUGCCCUCAUUGUUUCCCCGUAUAGCACAACUACUUUAUUCUUCAUUUAUUGGCAGUCUCGCCCCCGGGAGCACAGCAGAUUUUAUGAUGUUUGAGUACUAAUGCAUCUCAACUUUAUCUCCUCCUCGUGGUCUAAAGUCUCUGGCACCACAUAAACCCUCUCAAAUCUCCAUUGGUGAAUGUAUGCCAAUAAAGCCAUUAUGUGGUUUUUCACAGAGGCUAGGGAAACAAAAUUAUUUUUGUCUUUGAAUUAAACCUCGGCUAAACAACUGCACCAAGUUGUAUCAGUGUAUUCUUCCAUCUGAUUUCUCCAACUAUGGAUUCUGGAGUAUGUGACAGACCCCUCCUUUCUUUCCAGCCCUACAAAAUCCACAGCUGUCAACAGGAUGAGGUAUAGUGGCCCAGUCUGAAACCAUCUCUGUAAGUAGGAGCAGACCUAUGUUAACAUAGACCCUGUUGCUCCCAACUCACCAGGCUGGUCCAGCAGGAUAACAUGUUCUAUGAUAGCAAAAGCUAUGGACAGAUUGAGCAAAAGUAAGAUGGUAAUGCAUGAGUCCACAGUGUGAUGCAGCACCAAAAAAAGCGAAUGCUAUUCUAGGCUGCAUCAACAGAUAUAUAGUGUCCAGAUCAAGGGAAGUAACAGUCACACUGUAUUCUGCCUUGGUCAGGCCACACCUGGAAUACUAUGUCCAAUUCUGGGUACCACGGUUUACGAAGGAUGUU
rnacentral:lncRNA from 1 species